CUGUAGCCUCCGAAAUCUGAAACUUCGUUAAAAUCUAUCAUUUAAUCGGAUCGGGGAUAAAUGUGACGCAAAAGUUCGAUGCAUGCUGUUGUUCUGAUCAAUUAUGCUUACAAAUUUGAAUUGUAGAUUUAAUUCAAAGAGCGCACGCUUGCGCUGAUAAUUAUUCAUCGCAACUCCGACUUGCCAUAACCUUCGUUGGUCUCUGGUUUAUGUUUCUGCAAAGAAGAUGAACGUUUGCCACACAAAGCUGGUGGACAAAACGACCGGCGUAAGUAUAAUGGAAAGGAGAAAUGCUCCAAAGCGAAAUUAUGGAUAAUGAAACGGCACUGAACGAGAUAAGCCAGUGUAGACUGACUCGAAGAUAGACUGUAAACAACAGUUUUAAAAAGGCGAAGUGUAGAAGACUAUAGUAAGCAUUUUCAGCACGUUUGUGAAAUAAAGAGAUGAAAAGGCGUAACUCAAUUCUGUUAUGCCUACAUUAGCAGUGAUCUUAAGACUUGCAGACACAGCGCAUGAAGCUUGUGAAGUACGUUAAGUUGAUGAUUGGCUGUUUGCGGCCUCGGUUCAAACUGUUAUCACGCUGACAACAGCAUUCUCUCAUGGAGUGAAAGAAUGACAUCGUUCUGUUGAAUCAUUAUUGAAGGCGCUGUAUAACGAAGCUCAUACACGCAAAUACAGAUAAUAAAUAACGUGAAAGCUCUCUACACGAGUCUUUUGGCGAGAUGUCAACACGCGCUCUUAAAAGGGGCCAAGAGGUUUACAAGUAAAAUUACAAGUCUUUUGGUGAAAAACGUUUGCGCUGUCGAAAAAACCUAAGUCUUUUUGCGGGAAGAAAGUCAGCGCUUAGAGUCUAGAAAUUUAUCAAAAAUAACCUAAGUCUUUCGGCGGGAAAAAAGUCUGCUGUU